rnacentral:rRNA from 1 species
AANACGUGAGUAACCUGCCCCCGAGAGUGGGAUAGCCCUGGGAAACUGGGAUUAAUACCGCAUAGAAUCGCAAGAUUAAAGCAGCAAUGCGCUUGGGGAUGGGCUCGCGGCCUAUUAGUUAGUUGGUGAGGUAACGGCUCACCAAGGCGAUGACGGGUAGCCGGUCUGAGAGGAUGUCCGGCCACACUGGAACUGAGACACGGUCCAGACACCUACGGGUGGCAGCAGUCGAGAAUCAUUCACAAUGGGGGAAACCCUGAUGGUGCGACGCCGCGUGGGGGAAUGAAGGUCUUCGGAUUGUAAACCCCUGUCAUGUGGGAGCAAAUUAAAAAGAUAGUACCACAAGAGGAAGAGACGGCUAACUCUGUGCCAGCAGCCGCGGUAAUACAGAGGUCUCAAGCGUUGUUCGGAAUCACUGGGCGUAAAGCGUGCGUAGGCUGUUUCGUAAGUCGUGUGUGAAAGGCGCGGGCUCAACCCGCGGACGGCACAUGAUACUGCGAGACUAGAGUAAUGGAGGGGGAACCGGAAUUCUCGGUGUAGCAGUGAAAUGCGUAGAUAUCGAGAGGAACACUCGUGGCGAAGGCGGGUUCCUGGACAUUAACUGACGCUGAGGCACGAAGGCCGGGGGAGCGAAAGGGAUUAGAUACCCCUGUAGUCCUGGCAGUAAACGGUGCACGCUUGGUGU